rnacentral:tRNA from 1 species
UUACAAAGCGGUGUUUGGGCACGAAGAAUUUUGAUUUCUUAGGAGAGGGUCAAACCCUCCUGGUAAA